GCAUCAUAUGAAAGGAGAGGAGGUUAGCACUCCCCUUGACAAGGAUGGAAGAGGCCUUUGGGCCUGACAGCAUGUACACAUAUGGUCAAGGUAUGUUAUUUAUUAAAAUAAACAGGAAUCAGAUUUCCUC